rnacentral:lncRNA from 1 species
UUUGCAACACAAACAUAGGAGCCCCCAUGCUGCUCUCUGAAAUUUACAGCGUAUUUUCUUUUUACUCAAGCAUAUUGAAGCAGAACAGAAGAAAGGAUCAAAGGGAGGCUUGGUUUCCCUAUAGAUUGAAAAUGCUGAGGCUAAAACCGUGUGGAUCCAGCACCUCCUCGGGUGGACAGGACCAGGUCACAGCACCCCGAGGAGAGAUGGGACUGACAAGGAGGGGCUGCUCCUGCUGUAGGCAAGGCAGGGAUGGAGGGAGCCUGGAUCCUGCACCCUCCUGCUACCCUGUGCCUUGGAGAAUCCUGAAGAAAGCAGAGGAGGCUGUGUCUGAUUCGAAUGCAAGAAUCAUGAAGCCUGGAUUACUCAAACAAAUUUUGGGGCAGUCUGCUGACUUUAAAUGCUUCCUGGAAAGACUUUGUGAAAAAUGGGCAGCCAAGCAGGAGAAACUGGCCUUUGGAUGGAUGAAAGAAUAAAUCCAGUCUCCUCAAUUUCAUUCAUGAGGACUCAUGAGCAGAGCAAGGAAUCAGGAAAGCAUCUUAACAAAUGAGACAGGUCCUAGUUAUGAAAGAGUAUAGUCCUCUGCCUCUUUCUGCCCCUCUACAAACCCUUCCUUGCUUUCUGAAGGAUGGAGAGCCCCCAUGGGAGAGGGGUCCAGCAGGAUGCAGUGGGGGAUGCUGUUUGUACCCCACUAUUUGCUCUCCUCUUCCUUAUUUUCUGCUGUUUGCAAAGUAGGGCUGAGUUGGCUUUGCUGAUAAAGGAACCUUCCCAGACACAAAGAAGAGAGAGGAACAAUU